rnacentral:rRNA from 1 species
ACUCAAAUGAAUUGACGGGGGCCCGCACAAGCAGCGGAGCGUGUGGUUUAAUUCGAUGCAACGCGAAGAACCUUACCAGGGUUUGACAUGGCGCUUACAGAGGUUGAAAGGCCUUGUCCGCAAGGAGUGCGUCACAGGUGCUGCAUGGCUGUCGUCAGCUCGUGCCGUGAGGUGUUGGGUUAAGUCCCGCAACGAGCGCAACCCCCGGGGUUAGUUAGUUUCCUAACCCGACUGCCGGGACCAACCCGGAGGAAGGUGGGGAUGACGUCAAGUCAGCACGGCCCUUACGUCCUGGGCUACACACACGCUACAAUGGCCGGUACAGCGGGCGGCGCGAAGUCGUAAGGCGGAGCGAAUCCCUGCAAAGCCGGCCCCAGUGCAGAUCGAGGGCUGCAACUCGCCCUCGUGAAGGCGGAGUUGCUAGUAACCGCGGGUCAGCACACCGCGGUGAAUACGUUCCCGGGCCUUGUACACACCGCCCGU